rnacentral:rRNA from 1 species
AAGCUGUCGUUAUGCUAACUAAGGAAAUUAUUUUAUAGGUGAAAAAACCUAUAUUUACAAUAAAGAUCGAAAGACCCUAUGAGCUUCCAUUUUACGUUAAUUUAUUUAUUGACCCUAUAUUUUGUUGGGGAGACAAAAAGCACUCUACGCUUUUAUAAUAAAAGAUUUAUAAAUCAACUAUAAAAAUCCAAUAGCAUAUAAAUAAGUUACCUUAGGGAUAACAGACCGAUAUUUCUCAGGAGCCCACAUCAACGGAAAUGCUUGGCACCUCGAUGUUGGCUUAGGGAACCUAGCUCAUGUAUUAGUGAGAAAAGGGGGUUUGUUCAACCUUCUAAUUCCUACGUGA